CGCCUUCCAUGAAGCUGGAAUUGCUAGUAAUGGCAGGUCAGCAUACUGCCGUGAAUACGUUCCCGGGCCUUGUACACACCGCCCGUCACACCAUGAGAGUUGGAAAUACCCGAAGCCUGUGAGCUAACUUUUAGAGGCAGCAGUCGAAGGUAGAGCCAAUGAUUGGGGUGAAGUCGUAACAAGGUAGC
rnacentral:rRNA from 1 species